rnacentral:lncRNA from 1 species
UUUUCAACUCAAGGCAUCUGAGUUCCUCCUCAUCAAGUCAAGGGAAGGAAACCGACUCCGCCUCUGAUGGCUGCAACAGUAUGCACAUUCAGGGAGGAAAGGAAUUAACAGUGGUCAUCUUUCUGGACCAUCUACCACAGUGGCUAAAGUUAACACCUAGAAAGGAAGGUCCUGUUUUCAGCUUCUUUGACUGCUGCUCCGGGUGUCAAACCCUGAAGGGUGAGCUGACGCUAAAGACUGAGUGGUUAUUUUCUCCAGAAGAGGAGAAAGAUUGAAAAUGUGGCCGGCCGAUUCUCCCUGAUGAUCACACAGACAGACCUGCAUGACAGUCACACAGACAGGCCUGCAUAGCACCCCAGUUACACAGACGAAUUUCCCCAGAGCUGCCUUAACAUUGAGCAAAUAGUUAAACCUAGGGAAAUUGGUGCCCAGACAGCAAAGCUAGAAAUGAAACAUAUGGUCAGUAGGAGCCUUGCGUGGGCUUCUCCCUAACCUGGAGCAAACCAAAAUAAUAGAGACAGUCUUUCAUUCCUACUGCCAGGACCCGUCUCGGGUCAACAAAAUCUGAGACAGUCAAGGUAACAGAGGCAGCUGUUCGAAUAGAUUCAUUGGAGAGUCUAAGGCAGGCCUCCAGACCAAGCUGUAAAGCAGAUAAGAUAGAAAUAAUCACUCUGGUACCACAGUAGACAGGCCUUGAAGGUACUGGGCUGCUCACAGCUUAAUCCGACUUAGAAAGCAUUUUUGCCUAUGACCUUCUAGUUGAAACAAAAUUAGUUACCAGUAGACUUAGGCGAAUAAACUGCACAUAGGCACAUAACCC